rnacentral:hammerhead_ribozyme from 1 species
AUCUAGCUGACGAGUCUCAAAUAGGACGAAGCGCGCGUCCUGUAU